rnacentral:lncRNA from 1 species
GACAAAUUGAAAGAGUUGGUAUUGCUUUGUUUCAUCAAAAAGAAUGGCCAACGAAGAAACAAGUAUAUUGUCUUUGGAAGGGAUAAUUCCUACUUUGUGAAGGAUUACUCUGAUUCAAACAACGAUGCUUGAUUUUUUUAUUCACAACAUAUUUGUUACGUUCGAAGGACGUGUUUUUUAACAGACUAUCGGCAUUCCAAUGGGAAUAUAUUGUGCCCCUCUUCUUGCCAACUUGUUCGUUUAUUAUUAUGAGGCUGACUUCAUACAGGAACCUCUUAGGAAAAAACAUAUGAAGUUAGCAAAAUCCUUUAACUCUACUUUCCGCUGUAUAGAUGAUGUUUUUUCACUAAAUAAUUCAAAAUUUGGUGACUAUGUCGAACGCAUUUAUCCCAUUGAACUAGAGAUAAAGGAUACAACAGAUACAGUUAAGUCGGCCUCAUAUCUUGACUUACAUCUAGAAAUUUACAAUAAGGGUCGAUUAAAACAAAACUUUACGACAAAAGAGAUGAUAUCAGCUUUGAAAUCGUGAACUUUCCAUUUCUAAGUAGCAACAUUCCAGCAGCACCUGCAAACGGUGAAUACAUCUCCCAAUUGAUACGAUAUUCCCGUGCUUGCAUUUCCUAUCAUGAUUUUCUUGAUAGAUGGUUGUUGCUCACAAGGAAGCAAAUAAAUCAAGAAUUCCAAAUGGUGAUGUUGAAAUCAUCUCUUCGUAAAUUUUCACGGACGCCAUCACGAGUUGGUUGACCGUUAUAAAAUAGCCGUCUCAUAAAUGAUAUCGGAUAUGUUCCUUACGUCGUAACCACAAUCCCCUUCCCUUUCAUAAAUGUGACCUACCGAAUUCAGACUAUUUACCAGAUUUGUUAUCUCAUAAGCAACACGACGGGUGCCACAUGUGGAGCAGGAUCUGCUACCCUUCUGGAGCACCUGAGAUCACCCCUUGUUUUUAGUGGGGUUCGUUUUGUUUAUUUUUUGUUUUUUCUGUGUUCUAUCGUGUGUACUGUUGUUUGUCUGUUUGUUCUUUUCAUUUUUAGCCAUGGCGUUGUCACUUUAUUUUCGAUUAAUGAGUUUGACUGUCCCUCUGGUAUCUUUCGUCCCUCUUUUAUAGUUGUAAACACUGUAAACUGCUUUUUAUCAUAUGUAUUAUAAGUUCAAUCAUACCAGGAAGUAAUAACAAUAUCAUAACAAACUUUGAGGAAUAACUAAUAGAUUGAGUUCAAUGAUAUGUUUAUACCACAAAUGUAGACCCUAAUGUUAUGACUAUCAUCAAAUACAUAUCAAUUUACAUGUUCAUCCUCAAAUACUAUAACGAAACUUUGUGAUGAUUUUUUUUGUUUUUG